UAGGGAAUCUUCGGCAAUGGACGGAAGUCUGACCGAGCAACGCCGCGUGAGUGAAGAAGGUUUUCGGAUCGUAAAGCUCUGUUGUAAGAGAAGAACGAGUGUGAGAGUGGAAAGUUCACACUGUGACGGUAACUUACCAGAAAGGGACGGCUAACUACGUGCCAGCAGCCGCGGUAAUACGUAGGUCCCGAGCGUUAUCCGGAUUUAUUGGGCGUAAAGCGGGCGCAGGCGGUUAGAUAAGUCUGAAGUUAAAGGCUGUGGCUUAACCAUAGUACGCUUUGGAAACUGUUUAACUUGAGUGCAGAAGGGGAGAGUGGAAUUCCAUGUGUAGCGGUGAAAUGCGUAGAUAUAUGGAGGAACACCGGUNNNNNNAGCGGCUCUCUGGUCUGUAACUGACGCUGAGGCUCGAAAGUGUGGGUAGCAAACAGGAUUAGAUACCCUGGUAGUCCACACCGUAAACGAUGAAUACUAGGUGUUAGGAGGUUUCCGCCUCUUAGUGCCGAAGCUAACGCAUUAAGUAUUCCGCCUGGGGAGUACGACCGCAAGGUU
rnacentral:rRNA from 1 species